GAGUUAGAAAGAUGUCGGAUUUAUAAUGCCUUUGAGAGAGUGACAAUGGAAAAUAAAGUCCUGAUCGGCUCGCUAGACUACAACACACGUAAGAACUUGGUAAAUGAAAGGAGAAAGACAAUUUUAAACUUAUUUUCGAAUUAGCAGUGUCCUCCACCAGUCUAGUUAGCACAACGAGUUAAUAGUCUGUACCGUGUACUAUACAACAGGCGGUCAGAGAGUGAGAAGUAGAGAAAAUACAGGAAAAAAGCAGUCAAAGACUAAAGUCUAGACCAGGAAUAGAUCUAGCUGCCACUAAUAAUUAUUAUCACAUGUCAGUGACAUGGCUGUAAUUAAUAAAUCACACCCACACUCAAGCGAGCUCAAUGAUAAUAGCAGGAAGAAGUCUUCGAACCAAUUGUCACUUUAUGACAAUCAAAGCAGCUACGAUAUAGAACAUGUAAAGGAAUUUGAUGCAAAUAAAGGAGCUAAAUUGCAGAGCUUUCAGAUAGCGUUUAAUGAAAAGCUAAGUGUUGCUGGUGAGCACUACUGCACAGAAACAGUUUUUUGUGGUCAAAGCAUUAGUAAAGAAACUAAAUUGGAAGGUAGUGAGAAGACAAAUGGCAAGCUGAUAAAAUUGUAUUCUGUAAAAUAUUUAUUUUUA